rnacentral:rRNA from 1 species
GAUGAACGCUGGCGGCGUGCUUAACACAUGCAAGUCGAGCGAAGCACUUAUGAAAGAUUCUUCGGAUGAUUUCAUUUGUGACUGAGCGGCGGACGGGUGAGUAACGCGUGGGUAACCUGCCUCAUACAGGGGGAUAACAGUUGGAAACGACUGCUAAUACCGCAUAAGCGCACAGUACCGCAUGGUACAGUGUGAAAAACUCCGGUGGUAUGAGAUGGACCCGCGUCUGAUUAGCUUGUUGGUGGGGUAACGGCCUACCAAGGCAACGAUCAGUAGCCGACCUGAGAGGGUGACCGGCCACAUUGGGACUGAGACACGGCCCAAACUCCUACGGGAGGCAGCAGUGGGGAAUAUUGCACAAUGGGGGAAACCCUGAUGCAGCAACGCCGCGUGAGUGAAGAAGUAUUUCGGUAUGUAAAGCUCUAUCAGCAGGGAAGAAAAUGACGGUACCUGACUAAGAAGCCCCGGCUAACUACGUGCCAGCCGCCGCAGUAA